CUCAGGUGUUGUUGGGUAGGGGAGCGUUCUGUAAGCCUGUGAAGGUGGCCUGUGAGGGUUGCUGGAGGUAUCAGAAGUGCGAAUGCUGACAUAAGUAACGAUAAAGCGGGUGAAAAGCCCGCUCGCCGGAAGACCAAGGGUUCCUGUCCAACGUUAAUCGGGGCAGGGUGAGUCGACCCCUAAGGCGAGGCCGAAAGGCGUAGUCGAUGGGAAACGGGUUAAUAUUCCCGUACUUGGUGUUACUGCGAAGGGGGGACGGAGAAGGCUAUGUUGGCCGGGCGACGGUUGUCCCGGUUUAAGCGUGUAGGUGUGUGUUCCAGGUAAAUCCGGUUCACUUUAACACUGAGGCGUGACGACGAGGCACUACGGUGCUGAAGCAACAAAUGCCCUGCUUCCAGGAAAAGCCUCUAAGCAUCAGGUAACAUCAAAUCGUACCCCAAACCGACACAGGUGGUCAGGUAGAGAAUACCAAGGCGCUUGAGAGAACUCGGGUGAAGGAACUAGGCAAAAUGGUGCCGUAACUUCGGGAGAAGGCACACUGACACGUAGGUGAAGUGAUUUACUCAUGGAGCUGAAGUCAGUCGAAGAUACCAGCUGGCUGCAACUGUUUAUUAAAAACACAGCACUGUGCAAACACGAAAGUGGACGUAUACGGUGUGACGCCUGCCCGGUGCCGGAAGGUUAAUUGAUGGGGUCAGCGCAAGCGAAGCUCCUGAUCGAAGCCCCGGUAAACGGCGGCCGUAACUAUAACGGUCCUAAGGUAGCGAAAUUCCUUGUCGGGUAAGUUCCGACCUGCACGAAUGGCGUAAUGAUGGCCAGGCUGUCUCCACCCGAGACUCAGUGAAAUUGAACUCGCUGUGAAGAUGCAGUGUACCCGCGGCAAGACGGAAAGACCCCGUGAACCUUUACUAUAGCUUGACACUGAACAUUGAGCCUUGAUGUGUAGGAUAGGUGGGAGGCUUUGAAGUGUGGACGCCAGUCUGCAUGGAGCCGACCUUGAAAUACCACCCUUUAAUGUUU
rnacentral:rRNA from 1 species